GAGAUUAGAGUUUGAUCCUGGCUCAGGAUGAACGCUGGCGGCGUGCCUAAUACAUGCAAGUCGAGCGAAUGGAUUAAGAGCUUGCUCUUAUGAAGUUAGCGGCGGACGGGUGAGUAACACGUGGGUAACCUGCCCAUAAGACUGGGAUAACUCCGGGAAACCGGGGCUAAUACCGGAUAACAUUUUGAACCGCAUGGUUCGAAAUUGAAAGGCGGCUUCGGCUGUCACUUAUGGAUGGACCCGCGUCGCAUUAGCUAGUUGGUGAGGUAACGGCUCACCAAGGCAACGAUGCGUAGCCGACCUGAGAGGGUGAUCGGCCACACUGGGACUGAGACACGGCCCAGACUCCUACGGGAGGCAGCAGUAGGGAAUCUUCCGCAAUGGACGAAAGUCUGACGGAGCAACGCCGCGUGAGUGAUGAAGGCUUUCGGGUCGUAAAACUCUGUUGUUAGGGAAGAACAAGUGCUAGUUGAAUAAGCUGGCACCUUGACGGUACCUAACCAGAAAGCCACGGCUAACUACGUGCCAGCAGCCGCGGUGAUACGUAGGUGGCAAGCGUUAUCCGGAAUUAUUGGGCGUAAAGCGCGCGCAGGUGGUUUCUUAAGUCUGAUGUGAAAGCCCACGGCUCAACCGUGGAGGGUCAUUGGAAACUGGGAGACU
rnacentral:rRNA from 2 species